AUGGCCUGAACCCCUCUCCUGCUCCCUCUCCUCACUCUCUGCACAGGUUCUGUGGCCUCUUCUGAGCUGAAACAACCACCUGCAGUGUCUAUGGCCUUGGGACAGACAGCCACCAUCACCUGCCAGGGAGACAGCUUAAGAAACAGUUAUGCUAGCUGGUACCAUCAGAAGCCAGGCCAGGCUCCUGUGCUUGUCAUCUAUGGUAGUAACAACCGGGCCUCAGGGAUCCCUGACAGAUUCUCCAGCUCCCAAUCAGGGAACACAGCCACCCUGACCAUCUGCGGAGCCCAGGCCGAGGACGAGGCUGACUAUUACUGUCACUCAGGAAAAGAUUAUUAUAGUUAUGAAGCUCACGAUGUCAAAGGCUAAUGGGGAAAUGAGACAAAAACCCUUUCCCUUUCUGUGUCACACUCUCCUUUAGCUGCAGGAGGACUGUAGACAAAACCAUGAGCAGGUCUGGCCCAGGUCACCAGCUCUGAGAUCCCCAGGCUGCCCUCUCCUCCCAGCCCUCCAGGCAGGCUCUGUGGAGGAUGGAUCAGGACUGGUAGGACCAGGUUGUUCUGCUGUUUUCUGGCCAAGGCUGUGAAUUGGGGACAGAGGUCCUAGGUGGAGAGACAGAGUGAGAAAAAUAUAUGGU